AUUGAACGCUGGCGGCAUGCUUUACACAUGCAAGUCGAACGGCAGCACGGGGGCAACCCUGGUGGCGAGUGGCGAACGGGUGAGUAAUAUAUCGGAACGUACCCGGAAAUGGGGGAUAACGUAGCGAAAGUUACGCUAAUACCGCAUAUGCCCUAAGGGGGAAAGCGGGGGACUCGCAAGAACCUCGCGUUUUCGGAGCGGCCGAUAUCGGAUUAGCUAGUAGGUGAGGUAAAGGCUCACCUAGGCGACGAUCCGUAGCUGGUCUGAGAGGACGACCAGCCACACUGGAACUGAGACACGGUCCAGACUCCUACGGGAGGCAGCAGUGGGGAAUUUUGGACAAUGGGCGCAAGCCUGAUCCAGCCAUGCCGCGUGAGUGAAGAAGGCC
rnacentral:rRNA from 1 species